CAACCUAUUUAAUGAUAAAUAGCUGAACCGUCAGAAGUCAGCAGAAGUCAUAAUACCACCUGAUCUCGAGAAAGGUGAGAAGGAC
rnacentral:ncRNA from 1 species